rnacentral:rRNA from 1 species
GACGAACGCUGGCGGCGCGCCUAACACAUGCAAGUCGAACGGAGCGUACCAAGUGGAGACUUCGGUUAAAGCGAGGUAUUGCUUAGUGGCGAACGGGUGAGUAACACGUGAAUAACCUACCUUCCAGUGGGGGACAACAUUUGGAAACAGAUGCUAAUACCGCAUAAGACCACAGAGCCGCAUGGCUCUGCGGCCAACGGAGCAAUUCGCUGGAAGAUGGAUUCGCGUCUGAUUAGCUAGAUGGUGAGGUAACGGCCCACCAUGGCAACGAUCAGUAGCCGGACUGAGAGGUUGAACGGCCACAUUGGGACUGAGACACGGCCCAGACUCCUACGGGAGGCAGCAGUGGGGAAUAUUGCACAAUGGGCGAAAGCCUGAUGCAGCGACGCCGCGUGAGGGAAGAAGGUUUUCGGAUUGUAAACCUCUGUCUUUGGGGACGAAGAAGUGACGGUACCCAAGGAGGAAGCCACGGCUAACCACGUGCCAGCAGCCGCUGUAACAC